AACAGACAAGAUGAACCACCCAACAUCAAAAAACGGAAACCAAGUUAAGAAGAGAAAUCAAGAAGAGCGAAGAUCGAAGAGCGUUGUCCAGGGGUUUCCCGGCUCGCAAAUCAAGAGGUUAACAUGCGUUUAAAUUUUUUCUUCUGCCACCCCGGCGGUGAGAGGAACUUUCGGGGGAGGUGUAAUAUGGCGAUUGUCCACUUUUAGUGUUUAGCAGUAACACUUUGGUUUACUGCGACAUAAACGCGUAUUGCUUGUG